GAUGAACGCUGGCGGCGUGCCUAAUACAUGCAAGUAGAACGCUGAAGGAGGAGCUUGCUCUUCUGGAUGAGUUGCGAACGGGUGAGUAACGCGUAGGUAACCUGCCUGGUAGCGGGGGAUAACUAUUGGAAACGAUAGCUAAUACCGCAUGACAACAGUUAUUGCAUGAUAACUGUUUAAAAGGGGCAACUGCUCCACUACCAGAUGGACCUGCGUUGUAUUAGCUAGUUGGUGAGGUAACGGCUCACCAAGGCGACGAUACAUAGCCGACCUGAGAGGGUGAUCGGCCACACUGGGACUGAGACACGGCCCAGACUCCUACGGGAGGCAGCAGUAGGGAAUCUUCGGCAAUGGACGGAAGUCUGACCGAGCAACGCCGCGUGAGUGAAGAAGGUUUUCGGAUCGUAAAGCUCUGUUGUAAGAGAAGAACGAGUGUGAGAGUGGAAAGUUCACACUGUGACGGUAGCUUACCAGAAAGAGACGGCUAACUACGUG
rnacentral:rRNA from 1 species